AUUGAACGCUAGCGGCAUGCCUUACACAUGCAAGUCGAACGGCAGCACGGGGGCAACCUGGUGGCGAGUGGCGAACGGGUGAGUAAUGCAUCGGAACGUGCCCAUCGAUGGGGGAUAACUGCGCGAAAGCGUUGCUAAUACCGCAUACGACCUACGGGUGAAAGCAGGGGACCGCAAGGCCUUGCGUCGAUGGAGCGGCCGAUGCCGGAUUAGCUAGUUGGUGAGGUAAAGGCUCACCAAGGCGACGAUCCGUAGCUGGUCUGAGAGGACGACCAGCCACACUGGGACUGAGACACGGCCCAGACUCCUACGGGAGGCAGCAGUGGGGAAUCUUGGACAAUGGGGGAAACCCUGAUCCAGCCAUGCCGCGUGAGUGAUGAAGGCCCUAGGGUUGUAAAACUCUUUCGGCGGGGACGAUAAUGACGGUACCCGCAGAAGAAGCUCCGGCUAACUUCGUG
rnacentral:rRNA from 1 species